GCCCAAUUUCGCACGUGCCUGUGGUCGUGUGUCAGUCGGUGGGUAUCCGGACAAGAGGCCGGACAGCCGCCAAGGAAAAGGGACCCAGCAUCUCUCUCAAGGGAUGCGCCGCUUGAAGGGUCUCUUGGACUUGCAACCGUGACUGACAGCCGGAGGCGAACCGGCGCACCCCGCUCUCAACGGGGGACGCGACUUAAAGCAACGACGGAGCGGGCUUUU
rnacentral:sRNA from 1 species